CGGCGAAUUAUUUGGUCUCUUCCCACUUCCAUCCAGUUCUCUUUAGUGUUUGCCAAUGUUGGUGGUGUAACUGGGGUCUGGCCCUGGACAAAGGUUUAGAACAUGGCUCAAGUGAAAGUACAGGCGUCAGCACCCCUGGCUGGUCCUGGCCUCUCCACCAGUGUUUCCGUCACGGCCAUGUCCAGCCCUGGCUCCCUGAGUCUGCAGCCCUCUGUCAACGGCACAGCCGUGGCCCCCACACCUGCCUGCCCUGCUCCAGCAGUCGGAUAUGGGGAGACCCCUGUGCCACCUUCUCCACCAGGCCCGCCCCAGGAAGACAUGGCAAACCCUAAAGAGAAAACUCCAAUGUGUUUGGUGAAUGAGUUAGCCCGUUUCAACAGGAUCCAGCCUCAAUACAAGCUGCUCAAUGAGAGAGGACCUGCGCAUGCUAAGAUCUUCACCGUGCAGCUGACAUUGGGGGAACAGCAGUGGGAGGCAGAGGGAACCAGCAUCAAAAAGGCUCAGCAUUCCACUGCUGCCAAAGCGCUGGAUGAAAGUGUGCUUCCCAGACCAGCACCUAGGUCACCUAAAGUUGACAUCAACAGCAACCCAGGCAGUAUAACACCUACAGUGGAGCUAAAUGGUCUCGCUAUGAAACGAGGGGAACCAGCCAUCUACAGACCUUUGGAUCCCAAGCCGAUUCCCAACUACAGAGCCAACUACAACUUUAGAGGGAUGUUCAACCAAAGGUAUCAUUAUCCUAUUCCUAAGAUCUUUUUUGUCCAGCUCUCUGUUGGAAGUCAUGAGUUUAUUGGAGAGGGACGCACGCGCCAAGCAGCCAGACACAAUGCAGCCAUGAAGGCUCUGCAAGCCCUCCGCAAUGAACCCAUCCCUGAGCGGCCGCCACAGAGCCCUGAGGAAAAUGAAGAAACGGAAGACGGUGCUGAUGCAAGCAAAUCGGAGAUCAGUCUUGUCUAUGAAAUCGCCCUGAAGAGGAACCUGUCUGUUAACUUUGAGGUGUUAAAAGAGAGUGGGCCGCCUCAUAUGAAAAGCUUCCUCACCCGAGUCACCGUAGGAGAAUUUUCUGCAGAAGGGGAGGGCAACAGUAAAAAGCUGUCGAAGAAGCGUGCUGCCUUGUCCGUCCUGCAAGACUUGAAGAAGCUGCCAUUCAUUCCUGCUGUGGACAAGCCCAAGACACACUAUAAGAAACGCACCAAGACCAUCCUUAAGACUGGGCCAGACUAUGGUCAGGGCAUGAACCCCAUCAGCCGACUGGCCCAGAUCCAGCAGGCCAAAAAAGAAAAGGAACCUGAGUACCUGCUGCUUUCAGAGCGAGGUUUGCCACGACGAAGGGAAUUCAUCAUGCAGGUAAAGGUGAAUAAUGAGGUAGCCACGGGAACAGGACCUAACAAGAAGGUGGCCAAGCGGAACGCUGCGGAGGCGAUGCUGCUGCAACUGGGUUACAAGGCAUCAACAGUCACUCACAGUCCCACUGAGAUGGACAACAAAGGCUGGAACGGACAAAAGGCGUCUUUUACUGAAGCAACAAGUAGCAGCCCAAAAGGUUUGUUGCACCUCAGCCCAGAUGUGUACCAGGAGAUGGAGGCCAGUAGAAAACAGAGUAGUGGUACAACAAGCACUGGGAGCAGCUCAUCGAACUACAUAACUUCCAAAGAUGCAGGGUCCUGCUCUGCUCCACUUCCCCCAGGACACACUCCGUAUUACAGUGGAUCAUCAUCUCCCACCCCCACUGCGACCAUGGCCAGAGACCUGCUGCUAAAUGGACAGUCCCCAACGGUUGACGCAACGUUGCCUGCGAAGGGAAAGAGCCCAACUUUGGCCUGUGGCACCACAGUGCAACCUGCACAUCAGCUGGAAUAUCUUGCUCACAUCCAAGGCUUCCAGGUGCAAUACAGCGACGCACAAAGUGGUAAAGAUUUCGUGACUUACCUGACUCUCUCCCCGGUGCAAAUGACUUUCCACGGCACUGGGAGCACCCUUCAAGCCAGCCAUGACCAGAGCUGAAGUAACUGCCUGACCGUCCGUCUGUGGCGGCAGUAGGACACCAGGGGGGCCAAGGCCCACUGAGCUGUAUGUGAGGUGUCACUGGCGCGACAUGAGCGGCCUGCAAUCGAAGAUGACAGGGCUGCUCUAAGUGCCUUGAAACAGCUGUCGGAGCAGGGCCUGGACCCGGUAGAUGGCCCCAUCAAGAGCAGCGAAGCCUGCGGGAGGGAGGACGGACAUUAAACAGACUAACUCAGGCACCACCACUCAGGUCUGCACGGAUUCAAAGGCUGUCGUCAAGGAGCUGACAACCCGGACCCCUCUUCAGCACACACAUACCUGACAAACCUCUUCACCCCUGAUCCUCCUCCUAACCUACCACCCACAGUGUCCCCCCUCCUCCUCCUCCUCUUCCCUCCCCUGCCUGCCUUCACGAUUGCCACUGUAUCCUGCAAAACCUGUCAACAUGCAAUAGGGUGGAUGUGCACGAGAAAUGGCCGACUUUAAAAAACAAAAAAACAAAAAAAAAAAGAAGCAUUUCCUGAGUCUAUGUGAAGACAACACUAUCUCAACACGUUCAGUCAUGAUUUCUAUAUUUGAGUGAUGAAAUACCACACGAUGCAUGGGUCUCCAGGGGAAUCCAAAGUGACGCGCUGCUCGGCUCAUUUCCCUGGUAAAUUUAAAAAAGGCCAUGUCACUGGAAUGAACGAAGGGGACGUGCGUGCAGUAGCUUACUUUGUGGGCGGGGAGUUGACUAUGUUUCUGUUUCUUUUCUUUAUUCCGUUAUUUUAUCAAUCUAACCAUGCUUGAGUACUGUAUUUAAAAUUAACCAACGCCAGUGCUGUGAAAGUUGUAGUUGUUGUCUUCAUAUAUAGUCACCAGCUUACCUUGUAUGCUGACAUUUUAAAAAAAGGCUCAUCUAUCUCUAUGGAUGUGUACUACUCGCAUCUUAUUCCAGGUUACACCUGGAUAAAAAAAAGGGGAAAACUGAUGUUAGCAGUAAUCAGUAGAGCGUUGACUUCCUGAACAAUCUAACUGUCCCUUUUUAAUAUAUCACACAACCACGUGGCGUCGCUGGAGUGACAGAGGUCUCCAGCGAUCCCAUGUCAGUGGGUCGUUCUCUCUCUCUCCUGCCACAGUUUUGUCGAUCACAUCUACACCCAUUGUGAGUGUUGUACUGACCCACCCAGGCAUCAACUGGGUGCUUUUAAUGCUUGAAAGCGCAACCUGGGAGUGGACGACGGCUGCGUCCCAUCAUGCAGAGACCCCCUCUCUCCCUUCUUUGACUCACUCGGUCACCGACGCUGAGGAUGUUUUUUGUCUUCGCAGUGAGCGCUUUGUGUAUUAAUGUAAGCCGUUUGUGUGACUGACACGCAGUAAAAACACCUCAGUUCAUGUGGGAAACAAA